GCCGAGGUGCUUUAGUGGCUAGAGCACCUGCCUUGUAAGCAGGAGACUCGGGUUCGAUUCCCAGCCUCGGCA